UGGGGAAUAUUGCACAAUGGGCGAAAGCCUGAUGCAGCAACGCCGCGUGAAGGAAGAAGGGUUUCGGCUCGUAAACUUCUAUCAACAGGGACGAAAAAAAUGACGGUACCUGAAUAAGAAGCCCCGGCUAACUACGUGCCAGCAGCCGCGGUAAUACGUAGGGGGCAAGCGUUAUCCGGAAUUACUGGGUGUAAAGGGAGAGUAGGCGGCAUGGUAAGUUAGAUGUGAAAGCCCGAGGCUUAACCUCGGGAUUGCAUUUAAAACUAUCAAGCUAGAGUACAGGAGAGGUAAGUGGAAUUCCUAGUGUAGCGGUGAAAUGCGUAGAUAUUAGGAAGAACACCAGUGGCGAAGGCGACUUACUGGACUGAAACUGACGCUGAGGCUCGAAAGCGUGGGGAGCGAACA
rnacentral:rRNA from 1 species